GUCUGGGAUUCUAGACUCAAUUAUGGUGGUGUGUCCGGAUCGGCAGGACCGGGGUUCGGUCUCCGCAGCCCCUGCCCCGUGCGUACCCCAUUUUACAUCUGAUUCCAGCUCCAGACGGCUUGGCUGGCAGCUCUGGAAGGAGGAGCGUGCGGCGGCAGAGUCUGGGGCUCCGGUGAAUGCGGGGAAUGGAAGGACCGGCUCCCAGGAGCUAUCCUGCUGCUUAAUCCGAGCCAUUACCCUAAGGGGCUGCAGACACCCGGGAACCCACUGCUCCGGGAAAGGUGGAAAUGUGUCUGUAAAAGUUUAAUUGGCAAACAGGUAGUAAGUAAGGCCGGUGUGGCUGUUAUUUCAGAAGAAAAUAUAACAGAAUCUGUUCAAAACAAAACAAGGAAGGUGGUUUUUGAAAAUAAUAUGUAUUUUAUGCAUAUGUACUAUACACACAACCAAAUUUGUUUUUUAUUAAAUUUUUGUAGUUCAAGUAAUGUCAGAACUUUAAAGUUGUGCUGCUAUUAAGACAGACGAAAAAUAAAACUUGAACCUUGUUCAGAAUGUUAAACCUAGACACCCUCAUUCACUGGCAAAGUUGCUUGAAAACAGCCUGGAAAGAAGGAAGGCAUGAGCCUGCUAAAACUAUUAGGCCCAAAAUAGGGUUAACCCAACUCUAUUAAAGUAGGAGAGGGGAGAGGGAGGAAAAAACUGAAGUCCAGGCAGGAAGAAAAAAGCAAACAAGAGUCAGAAGUUGAACUCUACCAGAUGGAAAUAGAUAUUUUAGAGUUUAGUUGGUCAACAGUUGCCAUACCACUUAAAGAUAUAUGGAGCUAGCCAGAGAGGAGAAGCAAGAGGAUUGGUUACUGAGCUUGAUUUGAAAAGGUGAUUAAGACAUUAUUUCUUAUUAAUAUACAAUACUUAGUAGCCGUGCAUUCUGAAUCAGUCCUCUGAAGAUAAUGUUGUAGAAAGCACUAAGUCGUGAAAGUAUUGAUUUUCUUUGAUAAUAAAGUGAGACAACAAGUAACAUCUUUUUUUUUUUCCCCUGUGAAUCGUCAGGACUUCCUGAAAAUCAAAUGGAAUAGCAAAGUUUUGACUGGAGGCUUGUCUCACCAUUCCGGAAGAUAAAGAACCAAAAGUCUGUCCUUGUACUCAUGCUGUAGAGAAGCUUUACCGCCUCUCCAAACAUCAUCAGGACCUCCCUCAACCGAAAACGUUAAAAUCAGUUCAAGGACCGGGCAUGUUAAUACACACUCCCAGCACUCCAGAGCAGAUGUGGGCAGAUCUCUAUGAGUUCAAUGCCAGCUAAAGCUUCAUAGUUGAAUCCUUGUCUCAAAACAAAGCAGUCCAAGAAGCUAAGUGAAGUCUGCCUGUAAUUCCAUCCCAAGGCAGGAGACCUUGGGAUAGGCCUCAGUUGGUAGAAUGUUUACCUAUAGAGUACAGAAAACCUGGGUCAGAUCCCCAGCAGACACAUGCCUGUAAUUCCUGUCUCUGAGCUAGUAAAGGCAGCAAGACCAGGAAUCCAAGGCCAUCCUCAACUAAAUAGCUUUGGCAAGUCUGAGUAUGUGUAAGACCCUGAAAACAGUUGUGGCAUUAAAAUCAUAGGAUCUCUGUCAAA
rnacentral:sRNA from 1 species